CUGACCCUUGUGGAGCCUUUGGGGCGUUACAUAACCUCUCUGAGCCUCAGUUUUCUCAUCUGCAAAACAGGGAGGAGAGCAAUGCCGAGCGAGGCUGCUGGGAAGACACGAUGUGGUGAUCUCCCCUCCUGCUCCUGAAACAACCCCAGUGUUCCCAAAAUACCAGCGAGGUCUGGGGAGUUGGAUGUGCUCCAGGCCUCAUAGACUGCCCAUUGUGACCAAAGGGGCUGGUUUCCUGAUGGACUGAGAAGCUUCUCCGUGGCCUUAUGCAACGUGCUUGGCUGAGGAGCCCCCAUUGUCCUUGGCUCCCAGCCACAGGAAAGGGCAUUAUUGCCCUGAUUUACUCGGAAACAUUAGACACAUCAUCCAGGCUUAGCUUCAGCAUCGUGUAACUUCAGAUUACCUGGGCAACUUAUUAAUCAUGUCUGGUUCGGACUGAACUCACGGCCAACAGUGACCCACCUUAUGCUGGAAGAAGCUCAUGAGACACCAGCAUUUUCCCCAUAAGGCACAGCACAGCCUCUCCAGUUUAGAAACAUCAGCUAUCACUUCAGCACUAUGCCUGGGGCCAUUUUAAUCAGUAAAAUCAUGAAGAAAAAGCAAAAUCACAUGAAAACGUGGCACUCACUGGACUGCAGAUGGGACACUUGUUUUAGCAGGACAGGAUGAGAGCUGAAACAAGGAGGCUGGUAUUGCCUCGCUCCACCUCAGCUGGGAAGGUCGGCGUCUGCAGCGUGAGCGCUCCGCCCCGCUGCAUGCAACUGCGCACGACGGCGGAUGCACCGUGUUGCUUUGACGUACCAUCAGUUGCCCCACACACCUUUGACCAAAUAUGAGCCCAGCGUAUCUUGAUGGGCAAUAUCUAUGAUGCCGAAAGCCUGUAUUUGGGGGUUGCUUUGAAAGGUACACUGACAGGUGAGCCUAUCUCUAGGGGCUGUCCCUCCAGGGUCAGAAAAUCCCCAGAUGUCAAAGCCUCAGAAUACAGGGAGAAAAAGUCGUGAUUGAUAUAAAGAAGAAUGCCUACAAAUUAAUAAAAAAGAAAAACAACUCAGGAGGCAAAAGCCUCAAGUGGCACUUUGCAGAAGAGGAGACCCACGGGCCCUUAAGUACGUGGAAAGUGAACAUGAAUGUGAGGUGAGAUGAGGCGUGUCUUCCGCCCA